rnacentral:lncRNA from 1 species
AUACGCCACGUGUCCUUUUGUCUUCGUUCUAAGAACGCUGGUAUGGACGUUUAGGUACGUAUCUGCCGCUAUGCUUUGACAAGAGGCUGUUUAGGAUACUGGCUGGCAAACCAAUUUUUAAUCACAACUCAAAAUAGGAAAUAUAUUUUAUAUCGCAAAUCAGUACCUACCUACAUAUCCAUGCACAUAGCGGAAAUAAGUCUCGUGAAGAAUUUCUCACUCCCACUAUGUUCGAUGCACGCUGACGCCCUCGCCGCUCACCUUAACACGCUCUUCCGCUUUGAAUUCACGGUCUUAUGUUUUAGGAAGACCUCCCUGGGAACAGCCAAGCUGAUGAGACUUUCCUUAGUCCAGGAAAGUAUUUGACAUCUGGAACGUGGACAAGUUUGCUUGGACAGGGAGAAAAUAUGAGCUUCCUAACCAUGGGAAAGUAAGACUCCCACUCCAACAGGUGUGGCGUGAAGACUAUUCCACUCGCGACCUGUCAUCCAGCUCCCUCUUCGUCACUGUGGGGCAGGAAAUGAAGGAAACCCCUUCUCCCUGGGUCUCUCCACCCUCAAAGCUAAAACAUUCUUCCCACUGUCUUACUUCAGCAUCUCCCUUCAGGGCCCAGAAUCACAGCUCUGCUGCCUUCACACAGGCUGAUGCAGGAGAGACAAGGUCGGCACUAGGCCUGGGUACCAGUUUCUGACAGUGGUCCCAGAAAUAACAUGGUCUCCAGCUCUGAACCCAGUCACCCAAGGAAUCACUCAAGAUUCCCCAGAAGGUCAGACCAGAAGGUCUGGGGUGCAGUAUCCCCAAAGGGUCAGUAACUCCCCACUUUGUCCCAAAAGAACAUAAGGGGCAGGCUCUCCCAGGUUCCUCUGGGAAGUGACACCUGCCAAAAUCAGUAGGACCAGAGAUCCCUACUUGUCCCCAGGAAUCCAGCUCCGGACUGCCUCCCCAUCCGCACUCCUAGACUGUAUGAUCGUGACCAGUCUCCCAGAGCCACAGCUUUUUCAUCUCUCUGAUACAAUAAAAAUAUCUUUCUACUUGCC